CAUCUGUCCAUUUUUGCACGGAUUCAAUACAUAUCCUCUUUUUGAAGAUGUGUUAGAACAAAGAAGAGUGAUGGCAGUAGCAGAAGCGAGGGCUGUGUGGCAAAGAACAGCUAAUCGUUGUUUUGUCCAAGAAGAUGCCAAAAGGGCUCCCAAGUUAGCUUGCUGCCAAUCAUCAUCUUCAUCAUCAAAACAGGUUGAUGGGGUACCAACAAAUGCAGCAGACAUACCAGAUAAUCCUGCUGUAGGUUUCAUGCCUCUCCCCAGGAACUCCUCAUAUUCCAACCUUUCCCCUGAUACAAGAUGGUGGCUUCAGCUGCAACCUAGCUAUGGGUACCAAAAAGGUUUGACAUGUGAUCAGUUAAAUGCCUUGGAGGCUGAGAUGGAAAGCCUGAGAGCUGAAAUUGUAAACUCACCCUCUAAACUUGGUGAUGUUCUCCCACAUGAUGACAGACACAGCACAUGUUUAGAUGGCAACAUGAAUAGUGAAUCUUCCUUUGAUGCACAUUGUAGGAUCUCUGCUGAUAGAAUGAUUAAUGAUCCUGAAGUUAAUAAUCAAGAGGCAAAUACUCUAUAUGAUAAGAAUGACCUAGAAUUUAUUGAACUUAAGGACACAAGAGAGAACUUCAAAUGGAUGGAUAUGGAUCCAAUUGAAUGUCCCCAAAAAAGCAAUGAGUAUUGUUUUGAUCCAGAAUCACCUUGGAUUGGGGGUGCGAAGAAUGUGCCAUGGUGGCGUACAACAGAUAAAGAUGACUUGGCCUCUUUGGUUGCACAGAAGUCUCUUGACUACAUUGAGAAUUGUGACCUUCCCCCACCUCAAAAGCUGUGUGUUAGGAGAUAUCCAUGUGGCCGUCCUGUAUCUUCUGAUCAGGUGCAUGACUGUCCCAAUUCUGAAACCAUGAAAGGAAGACAGAAGACUGCAAUUGAAGGGCAGUUACAAAGCAGUUCUGAAAAGCCUUUCAGUUAUACCGCAUCUCAUAAAGAUACAACAGAAAUUGGACAACUUCCUCAGGGUGAUCCGUCUAAGGCUCAGCUCCUGGAAGCACUCCGUCAUUCUCAAACACGAGCCAGGGAAGCUGAAAAGGUGGCAAGGCAGGCCUGUGCUGAAAAGGAACACGUCAUUAAGCUGUUCUUUAGACAAGCCUCACAGCUUUUUGCCUAUAAGCAAUGGUUCCAGUUGCUGCAGCUUGAAACCCUUUAUUACCAGGUGAAGAAUGGUGGCCAGCCAAUGUCCACUCUAUUCCCUGUAGUUCUUCCAUGGAUGCCUCGCAAAGGCAGGAAACUUCAAAAGAGCUGGCAAAAGUCCACAAGGAGCAAACGAGGCAAGCUUGGCCGACCAAGUCAUGACAUUAGCAAGUAUGCUGUUGCAUUUGCGCUGGGGUUGAGUCUUGUUGGNGGUGCUGGCUUGCUCCUGGGAUGGACUGUAGGGUGGAUGUUGCCUUUGUGAGUUUCAGCAAAAUUUCCUACUUACUAAAAUUUAUUUGAGGGAAACUGGUUGGAUUAAAUCUUAGAUGUGUUAGUUUUUUUUUUUUUGUAUAUUCUGCUUUGUUUGCGUACCUGGUGUACAACUGAUUUAGGGGUUGGGGUAAUGUGAAUAUGGUGGGGUAGAUGUUCUGUCAAUGGAAAAUCUCAUCAAAUGUCCCUUUUUGAUUAUCUGUACAUUUGAUUUAAAUCUUAUUUUCAGUGUCUAUGCAGGAAAUCCUCAAGGCAGUGUCUAUUUCCCAAAUUUACAAU
rnacentral:misc_RNA from 1 species